rnacentral:ncRNA from 1 species
AAAAAAGCGAUGAAGAGAACAAGUAGCAGGAACCAAGGAGAAGACAGAGAGCUGCCGGUUGGUGAGAGGCGCAUGACCCUAUUCCUUGUGAAUACAUCUCGGAGCUUCACACCCAAAGCAGGAGGGCGAAAGAGAAGCCGGACGGACUUUUCCGAAGCGCUCCAGGGCAAGUAGGCUGUGACGGGGCAGUGCACGUUAACGCACGGAGUGAUUGAACCGGAGCCGGAAGAUGCGGCGGCAGGACGGGCACGGGAAGAUUAACUCAUAGAGGCAGACAACGGAAGUUGCCUGUGAAUAAAGGUGGUACCACGAGCGUAAGAGCCCUCGUCCUUUUC